AUUGAACGCUGGCGGCAUGCCUUACACAUGCAAGUCGAACGGUAACAGGUCUUCGGAUGCUGACGAGUGGCGAACGGGUGAGUAAUACAUCGGAACGUGCCCGAGAGUGGGGGAUAACGAGGCGAAAGCUUUGCUAAUACCGCAUACGAUCUCAGGAUGAAAGCAGGGGACCGCAAGGCCUUGCGCUCACGGAGCGGCCGAUGGCAGAUUAGGGAGUUGGUGGGAUAAAAGCUUAUCAAGCCGACGAUCUGUAGCUGGUCUGGGAGGUCGACCAGCCACACUGGGACUGAGACACGGCCCAGACUCCUACGGGAGGCAGCAGUGGGGAAUUUUGGACAAUGGGCGCAAGCCUGAUCCAGCCAUGCCGCGUGCAGGAUGAAGGCCUUCGGGUUGUAAACUGCUUUUGUACGGAACGAAAAGACUCUGGUUAAUACCUGGGGUCCAUGACGGUACCGUAAGAAUAAGCACCGGCUAACUACGUGCCAGCAGCCGCCGUAAGAC
rnacentral:rRNA from 1 species